ACCUCCGAUUAAGGUUUCCACUCCUGCCAGUUCCCGAGGACUUGCGUGACUCAUAGUUAAAUUCACUCCAGCGGGGCUUGGGAGGAAUUCAUGCAGAAGUACCGAUACUAACAAUACAUGGACUCGUUUCAUUUUUGUCAGCAAGCCAUACAGAGAAGGUUUUUAAGGGACAAGGGGAAUAGAAGUGAGAACCACAGCAGAACAAAAGCAAAAACCAGAAGAGAACAAAAUGAGGGAGGACACAAACAAGCAGGACAAGAUGGAGGAAAAAGAACAAGGCUGUGGGACUGACAAGUGUGUAAACAACUGUAAGAACCUGUGAGUUAGCAUUUAAAUAUAACCUGUUAUUAUUAGUGGCGCCAGCACAAGCAAUUCAGUGUUUAUGGCACUUAAUAGUGAAUGACCACCAUAUCAUACGAAUGUUAGUCAAUGGGGGAGAGAGUUGUGAGCCAGCAGACUGAGGAAAGGUGGGGCCCUUUACCCAGAAGGGAGGGCCAAGCAGCGAGCCCAUCCAGGAAGGGGACCCAACCAGGGGGAGGUCCCCGAGCCGCCAAGAUCCAGGAAGGUCCUGAUCCCAACCGACCAACACACCCCAAACCACCACGUUGACCCCCUACCCAGCGAGCCCCACCGCCAUCAUUACAUCCACAACCCAUGCAGAGCAUGGGGACCCAAGUCACACGGGAGGGGCCAACGCAGGAGCCAGCCACCACCUCCAA